UGUCCGGAUAAGCCUUUAAGGAAGAAAAUGGUCAUUGUCGUCUCACCAUUCCUAGAACAAGCAUCUUAGAUCUUUCAAAGCGAAAUUUUUAACUUGCAUUUGAUAAGAAUAUGAUUUAGGCAUUCCUUUAUAUUUUAAACCUCACAUUUAGCCUUAACCUACCUCAAUUUCAUUUUAACCCUUGCAAACCCCCUUGAACCUUAAUCUCCUAAUUUCUUUGGAACCCAAAUCAUUUACCUAGCCAUUAAACCUAAACACUACCACCUAUCUAUGAGAAUAGUAUUUUAGCAAUUAAGUGCAUAAAAAAAUGAUAAUGAUAUAAAAAAAUAAUAAUAAUAAUAAUAAUAAAAUAAUUAAAAAAAAAAAAAUCUCGGAGGAUUGAAACAUCUUGAAAAGUGCUAGAGUAAUUGUCAAAAGUUGAAAAGGUCACCAAAAUAUCCCAAAGGUAAUUUUGGGUGUGACAUGAAAUAGAGACACAUACAAAAUCAAAAUAAAAUAAAAUAAAAUAAGCAUAAAAAAAUAGUCCCUUUGUAUAAUCAUUGUGAUAGCACUUGAGAUUCAUUGUGAAUUUCUUUCCUCUUGAUAUAAAAAAAAAAAAAAAAAUAUUGGAUGCACUUUGAGUUUCAUGAUUAAUAUUAUUCUCAUAUUUUGUUUACCUUAUUCCCUUUCUUUGUUAACCACAAUUUUACCCUAUUAGACCCCAUUACAACCCUUAAAAAGACCUAAUGAUUCUUUGAAAAAUGCUUGUUACAUUAGUAGAGUUAGAUCUUUUAUGCUUGCAUAUGGGUUUGGCAAUAUAAUCUUCCAUACAUUACUCACCAUCUAUUUGAGACACAUUGGCUAUCUAUUUCAUUUAGGUUUGUUUUGGCACAAUUGACUCUUGUAGUUGGUUGGUAUUUGUUGCUUGGGUUGAUUGGUUAAUUCUUAGCUAUUCUGUAAUAGUUGAGAGUGCUUGCUUCAUUCUUUGUGCUUUUGCUGGUGGGAAUUUGGAAUGUUGGUGGCUAGAGGUAAGUUGGUGGUUUGGAUUAGUGAAUUUUGUGUUUUCAAAGACUGAUUCUAUUCCCUUCCAAAUGAGUUUUAAUGAAAUUUUGCUUGAGGACAAGCAAGAGUUUGAGUAUGGGGGAAUUUGAUGCAUGCAUUUUAUAUCAUCAUUUAGGAGUUAAAUCUGGAGAAAUUUGAUGUAUUUUGAUCAGAGUAGCCAUUUGGAGGAGAUUAAAAUCGAAUUGCAAAAAAAAAUUUUGAAGUUGAGAAAAAAAAUGGCCGAGAGCGACACAACCCGCGACACAACUGACUCGGCUUAUGUCGUUUUUACUGGAAAAUUUUUUGACGUGGCAUUUCCGUUACUCCAGCCUUUUUACCUCACUUUUUCUAGAUCCUUCCCCCUUUUACCCAUUCUAGAACAA